UACGUAGGGGCCGAGCGUUGUCCGGAUUUAUUGGGCGUAAAGCGCGCGCAGGCGGCUUCGCGCGCCCGACGUGAAAGCCCCCGGCUUAACCGGGGAGAGUCGUUGGGGACGGCGGGGCUUGAGGGCGGGAGAGGUCGGUGGAAUUCCCGGUGUAGUGGUGAAAUGCGUAGAGAUCGGGAGGAACACCUGUGGCGAAGGCGGCCGACUGGGCCGACCCUGACGCUGAGGCGCGAAGGCGUGGGGAGCGAACGGG
rnacentral:rRNA from 1 species